AUGUGUGACCAUCCUCAUCUCAUCCUAUCCUCAGUUCUUAUCCAUCUUCUAAAGAAAAAACAAACAACAACACAUACCGUAUACUACCGAUUCUCUAUAAGAAGUUCAAACUCUGAAGCAUCGGAAUCAUGCAAUAUUAAGCCCUUUAAACGCCCUAGAAAGAAAAUGGUCAGACAUUCUCAGAUUCACGAAAUAGAGGAAAUGGAACCACAGUUUCAUUUGACUAUGGAGUAG
rnacentral:lncRNA from 1 species